rnacentral:rRNA from 1 species
GACGAACGCUGGCGGCGUGGAUUAGGCAUGCAAGUCGAACGGUAUCAUCCUUUCGGGGGUGAGAGAGUGGCGAACUGGUGAGUAACACGUAGGUUAUCUACCCUCAAGACGGGGACAACCCAGGGAAACUUGGGCUAAUACCGGAUGUGAGCAACUUUUAGUUGUUUGAAAGGUGGCGUAAGCUGCCGCUUGGGGAUGAGCCUGCGUCCUAUUAGUUAGUUGGUGAGGUAACGGCUCACCUAGGCAAUGAUAGGUAGGCGGCCUUAACGGGUGGUCGCCCACACUGGGAUUGAGAUACGGCCCAGACUCCUACGGGAGGCAGCAGUCGAGAAUAGUCUACAAUGGUCGGAAGACUGAUAGUGCGACGCCGCGUGAACGAUGAAUCCCUUCGGGGUUAAAGUUCUUUUAUAUGUGAGCAGUGCUUCUUAUAUUAACAGUAUGGGGAGAGAGAUAUUAGCAUAUGAAUAAGCAACGGCUAACUCCGUGCCAAGCAGCCGCGGUAAACUCGU